rnacentral:tRNA from 1 species
GGCUCGAUGGCAGAGUGGUUAUGUAGGGGCCUGCAAAGCCUUGCACAGCGGUUCGAUUCCGCUUCGAGCCUCCA